CAGGAUAGCUUAGUUGGUAGAGCAUAAGACUCUUAAUCUCAGGAUCAUGGGUCCAAGCCCCACAUUGGGUGAAAGA